rnacentral:tRNA from 2 species
CAAAAAGUAGCUUAUAAAAGCACCCAGCUUACAACUAGGAGAUGCCGCAUUAACUACGGUCUUUUUGA